GAGCCCAUAACUCAAUGGUAGAGUACCGGACCUUUAAUCCGGCAGUCAGAGUUCAAGUCUCUGUGGGCCCACCA
rnacentral:tRNA from 1 species